rnacentral:rRNA from 1 species
AUACGGAGGGUGCAAGCGUUAUCCGGAAUCAUUGGGUUUAAAGGGUCCGCAGGCGGAUUGAUAAGUCAGUGGUGAAAUCCUCUCGCUCAACGAGAGAACUGCCAUUGAAACUGUUAGUCUUGAAUUCGGUCGAAGUAGGCGGAAUGUGUCAUGUAGCGGUGAAAUGCAUAGAUAUGACACAGAACACCGAUAGCGAAGGCAGCUUACUAGACCUGGAUUGACGCUCAUGGACGAAAGCGUGGGGAGCGAACAGGAUUAGAAACCCGAGUAGUCC